GACGAACGCUGGCGGCGUGCUUAACACAUGCAAGUCGAACGGAAAGGCCCUGCUUUUGUGGGGUGCUCGAGUGGCGAACGGGUGAGUAACACGUGAGUAACCUGCCCUUGACUUUGGGAUGACUUCAGGAAACUGGGGCUAAUACCGGAUAGGAGCUCCUGCUGCAUGGUGGGGGUUGGAAAGUUUCGGCGGUUGGGGAUGGACUCGCGGCUUAUCAGCUUGUUGGUGGGGUAGUGGCUUACCAAGGCUUUGACGGGUAGCCGGCCUGAGAGGGUGACCGGCCACAUUGGGACUGAGAUACGGCCCAGACUCCUACGGGAGGCAGCAGUGGGGAAUAUUGCACAAUGGGCGGGAGCCUGAUGCAGCAACGCCGCGUGCGGGAUGACGGCCUUCGGGUUGUAAACCGCUUUCGCCUGUGACGAAGCGUGAGUGACGGUAAUGGGUAAAGAAGCACCGGCUAACUACGUG
rnacentral:rRNA from 1 species